UCAGCCACAUUGGAACUGAGACACGGUCCAAACUCCUACGGGAGGCAGCAGUAGGGAAUCUUGCACAAUGGAGGAAACUCUGAUGCAGCGAUGCCGCGUGAGUGAAGAAGGCCUUUGGGUUGUAAAGCUCUUUCGUCGGGGAAGAAAAUGACUGUACCCGAAUAAGAAGGUCCGGCUAACUUCGUGCCAGCAGCCGCGGUAAUACGAAGGGACCUAGCGUAGUUCGGAAUUACUGGGCUUAAAGAGUUCGUAGGUGGUUAAAAAAGUUGGUGGUGAAAUCCCAGAGCUUAACUCUGGAACUGCCAUCAAAACUUUUUAGCUAGAGUAUGAUAGAGGAAAGCAGAAUUUCUAGUGUAGAGGUGAAAUUCGUAGAUAUUAGAAAGAAUACCAAUUGCGAAGGCAGCUUUCUGGAUCAUUACUGACACUGAGGAACGAAAGCAUGGGUAGCGAAGAGGAUUAGAUACCCUCGUAGUCCAUGCUGUAAACGAUGUGUGUUAGACGUUGGAAAUUUAUUUUCAGUGUCGCAGCGAAAGCAAUAAACACACCGCCUGGGGAGUACGACCGCAAGGUUAAAACUCAAAUGAAUUGACGGGGACCCGCACAAGUAGUGGAGCAUGUGGUUUAAUUCGAAGAUACGCGCAGAACCUUACCAACACUUGACAUGUUCGUCGCGACUCUAAGAGAUUAGAGUUUUCGGUUCGGCCGGACGAAACACAGGUGCUGCAUGGCUGUCGUCAGCUCGUGUCGUGAGAUGUUGGGUUAAGUCCCGCAACGAGCGCAACCCUCACUUUUAGUUGCCAUCAUUUAGUUGGGCACUCUGAAAGAACUGCCAGUGAUAAGCUGGAGGAAGGUGGGGAUGACGUCAAGUCCUCAUGGCCCUUACGUGUUGGGCUACACACGUGCUACAAUGGUAUUUACAACAGGAAGCAAGACGGCAACGUUAAGCAAAUCCCUAAAAAAUACCUCAGUUCGGAUUGCACUCUGCAACUCGAGUGCAUGAAGCUGGAAUUACUAGUAAUCGUGGAUCAGCGUGCCACGGUGAAUACGUUCCCGGGUCUUGUACACACCGCCCGUCACACCAUGGGAGUUGGUUCUACCUUAAGGCAAAGUUUAAAACCUUUGACCACGGUAUAGUCAGCGACUGGGGUGAAGUCGUAACAAGGUAGCCGUAGGGGAACCUGCGGCUG
rnacentral:rRNA from 1 species